UACGUAGGGCGCAAGCGUUGUCCGGAAUUAUUGGGCGUAAAGAGCUCGUAGGCGGCCUGUUGCGUCCGCUGUGAAAUCCCGGGGCUUAACCCCGGGCUUGCAGUGGAUACGGGCAGGCUGGAGGCAGGCAGGGGAGAACGGAAUUCCCGGUGUAGCGGUGAAAUGCGCAGAUAUCGGGAGGAACACCGGCGGCGAAGGCGGGUCUCUGGGCCGAUAUUGACGCUGAGGAGCGAAAGCGUGGGGAGCAAACAGG
rnacentral:rRNA from 1 species